rnacentral:rRNA from 1 species
GACGAACGCUGGCGGCGUGCCUAAUACAUGCAAGUAGAACGCACAGUUUAUACCGUAGCUUGCUACACCAUAGACUGUGAGUUGCGAACGGGUGAGUAACGCGUAGGUAACCUGCCUGGUAGCGGGGGAUAACUAUUGGAAACGAUAGCUAAUACCGCAUAAUAUUGAUUAUUGCAUGAUAAUUGAUUGAAAGAUGCUAUUGCAUCACUACCAGAUGGACCUGCGUUGUAUUAGCUAGUAGGUGAGGUAACGGCUCACCUAGGCGACGAUACAUAGCCGACCUGAGAGAGUGAUCGGCCACACUGGGACUGAGACACGGCCCAGACUCCUACGGGAGGCAGCAGUAGGGAAUCUUCGGCAAUGGACGAAAGUCUGACCGAGCAACGCCGCGUGAGUGAAGAAGGUUUUCGGAUCGUAAAGCUCUGUUGUAAGAGAAGAACGGGUGUGAGAGUGGAAAGUUCACACUGUGACGGUAUCUUACCAGAAAGGGACGGCUAACUACGUG